rnacentral:rRNA from 1 species
UUUAAUUCGAUGCAACGCGAAGAACCUUACCUACCCUUGACAUCGUGCGAACUUUCCAGAGAUGGAUUGGUGCCUUCGGGAACGCACAGACAGGUGCUGCAUGGCUGUCGUCAGCUCGUGUUGUGAAAUGUUGGGUUAAGUCCCGUAACGAGCGCAACCCUUGUCCUUAUUUGCCAGCGAGUCAUGUCGGGAACUCUAAGGAGACUGCCGGUGACAAACCGGAGGAAGGUGGGGACGACGUCAAGUCAUCAUGGCCCUUACGGGUAGGGCUACACACGUGCUACAAUGGCCGGUACAAAGGGUUGCGAAGCCGCGAGGUGGAGCUAAUCCCGAAAAGCUGGUCUCAGUCCGGAUCGGAGUCUGCAACUCGACUCCGUGAAGUCGGAAUCGAUAGUAAUCGUGAAUCAGAAUGUCA